UACGUAGGGGGCUAGCGUUGUCCGGAAUCAUUGGGCGUAAAGCGCGUGUAGGCGGUCCGGUAAGUCCGCUGUGAAAGUCGGGGGCUCAACCCUCGGAUGCCGGUGGAUACUGUCGGGCUUGAGUACGGAAGAGGCGAGUGGAAUUCCUGGUGUAGCGGUGAAAUGCGCAGAUAUCAGGAGGAACACCAAUUGCGAAGGCAGCUCGCUGGGACGGUACUGACGCUGAGACGCGAAAGCGUGGGGAGCUAACAGG
rnacentral:rRNA from 1 species